rnacentral:rRNA from 1 species
GAUGAACGCUGGCGGCGUGCCUAAUACAUGCAAGUCGAGCGAACAGACGAGGAGCUUGCUCCUCUGACGUUAGCGGCGGACGGGUGAGUAACACGUGGAUAACCUACCUAUAAGACUGGGAUAACUUCGGGAAACCGGAGCUAGUACCGGAUAACAUGUUGAACCGCAUGGUUCAACAGUGAAAGACGGUCUUGCUGUCACUUAUAGAUGGAUCCGCGCCGCAUUAGCUAGUUGGUAAGGUAACGGCUUACCAAGGCAACGAUGCGUAGCCGACCUGAGAGGGUGAUCGGCCACACUGGAACUGAGACACGGUCCAGACUCCUACGGGAGGCAGCAGUAGGGAAUCUUCCGCAAUGGGCGAAAUCCUGACGGAGCAACGCCGCGUGAGUGAAGAAGGUCUUCGGAUCGUAAAACUCUGUUAUUAGGGAAGAACAAAUGUGUAAGUAACUAUGCACGUCUUGACGGUACCUAAUCAGAAAGCCACGGCUAACUACGUG